AAAGCUUGCAAACUCCCUAAACCAUUGUGAACGUUACCUAUACCGUUGCUUCGGCGGGCGGCCCCGGGGUUUACCCCCCGGGCGCCCCUGGGCCCCACCGCGGGCGCCCGCCGGAGGUCACCAAACUCUUGAUAAUUUAUGGCCUCUCUGAGUCUUCUGUACUGAAUAAGUCAAAACUUUCAACAACGGAUCUCUUGGUUCUGGCAUCGAUGAAGAACGCAGCGAAAUGCGAUAAGUAAUGUGAAUUGCAGAAUUCAGUGAAUCAUCGAAUCUUUGAACGCACAUUGCGCCCGCCAGCAUUCUGGCGGGCAUGCCUGUUCGAGCGUCAUUUCAACCAUCAAGCCCCCGGGCUUGUGUUGGGGACCUGCGGCUGCCGCAGGCCCUGAAAAGCAGUGGCGGGCUCGCUGUCGCACCGAGCGUAGUAGCAUACAUCUCGCUCUGGUCGCGCCGCGGGUUCCGGCCGUUAAACCACCUUUUAACCCAAGGUUGACCUCGGAUCAGGUAGGAAGACCCGCUGAACUUAAGCAUAUCAUAAGGCCGGAGGAAAUUUUUAAUUUCUU
rnacentral:rRNA from 1 species